CCUACGGGAGGCAGCAGUGGGGAAUAUUGCACAAUGGGCGGAAGCCUGAUGCAGCAACGCCGCGUGAGGGAUGACGGCCUUCGGGUUGUAAACCUCUUUUAGCAAGGAAGAAGCGUGAGUGACGGUACUUGCAGAAAAAGCGCCGGCUAACUACGUGCCAGCAGCCGCGGUAAUACGUAGGGCGCAAGCGUUAUCCGGAAUUAUUGGGCGUAAAGAGCUCGUAGGCGGUUUGUCGCGUCUGCUGUGAAAUCCCGAGGCUCAACCUCGGGCCUGCAGUGGGUACGGGCAGACUAGAGUGCGGUAGGGGAGAUUGGAAUUCCUGGUGUAGCGGUGGAAUGCGCAGAUAUCAGGAGGAACACCGAUGGCGAAGGCAGAUCUCUGGGCCGUAACUGACGCUGAGGAGCGAAAGGGUGGGGAGCAAACAGGCUUAGAUACCCUAG
rnacentral:rRNA from 1 species